UUAUUCAGAUGGCAGAAAAUGUUAAUAUUGAUGAAGAUAUUAAACAGUUAGAAAAGAUUCCCUUUGGUAUUGGUAAUUUGAAAGUGGAAAGAAAAUCUUUGCGAGAUGAAGAUAAUCCAAUGCCUGAAGAAAUUGAUCCUUAUAUUUUUUGUACGUAUGAAAUUUACCAGAAACUGUUAAUGUUUAGGAAAUCAAAAGCAAGUUUCCAACAGCUUCUAGGGUAGAUGUUGGUUAUCCGCAAAAAAUGAGAAAUACACGAUAUGCAUUUAUAAUAUAUAAUAUUGUAGAUGAAUCGAUAGAUGCUUAUAAAAAGACACACGACUUAAUGUGGGAUACAAGAAGUAUUAUCGUAAGAUACCGAAGACAACGUAGAAAUACAUGUCUUUAAGGAGAACCUAAACCAAAUGUAAAAAAAGUUAAAGAAGAACCAAGCAAUACAUCACAAACAAAAGAACGAAGGAAAAUAAUAAUGAAAAGAAAGCAACACAACAGCCAGAUACUAAUGGAGAGCAUAGACUGCAAGAUGUAUAAAGAGUAAAGAAAAUAGUCAAACUCUACAACAAAAUACUUAUCUAUAAUCUCCUCAAUUGUCUGCAUCUGUAACAUCUGUUAAAACGGCGCAAAAACAAUCAUAGGUAUUCGUUAUAUUAUUUUUUAGGAAUCUAAUGUUGUAAAGAAUUGAAUUAAUAAGACGUCAAUUAUUACUGUAGACAUCGCAACUACCUCAAAUACUUUCGUCGUCUGAAGUAUCCCCUCCGUGCCCGUCAAAAACAGAAACAGUGCCAGAAACAAUAUUGUUAACGA
rnacentral:lncRNA from 1 species